CGGGGCGUCAUAGAGGGUGAGAAUCCCGUCUGCGACCGGCGGUCAAGCCCAUGUGAAACCCCUUCGACGAGUCGAGUUGUUUGGGAAUGCAGCUCAAAAUGGGUGGUAAAUUUCAUCUAAAGCUAAAUACCGGCCAGAGACCGAUAGCGCACAAGUAGAGUGAUCGAAAGAUGAAAAGCACUUUGGAAAGAGAGUCAAACAGUACGUGAAAUUGUUGAAAGGGAAGCGCUUGCGACCAGACUUGCGUACGGGCGAUCAGCCGUCCUUCUGGGCGGUGCACUCGCCCGCGGGCAGGCCAGCAUCGGUUUCGGCGGCCGGAUAAAGACCUUGGGAAUGUGGCUCCUUCCGGGGAGUGUUAUAGUCCUCGGUGCAAUGCGGCCAGCCGGGACCGAGGACCGCGCUUCGGCUAGGAUGCUGGCGUAAUGGUCGUAAGCGGCCCGUCUUGAAACACGGACCAAGGAGUCUAACAUCUAUGCGAGUGUUUGGGUGUCAAACCCAUGCGCGUAAUGAAAGUGAACGGAGGUGGGAACCCGUCUGGGCGCACCAUCGACCGAUCCAGAUGUCUUCG
rnacentral:rRNA from 1 species